rnacentral:rRNA from 1 species
GAUGAACGCUGGCGGCGUGCCUAACACAUGCAAGUCGAGCGAUCUUCUUCGGAAGAGAGCGGCGGACGGGUGAGUAACGCGUGGGUAACCUGCCCUGUACACACGGAUAACAUACCGAAAGGUAUGCUAAUACGGGAUAACAUAAGAAAGUCGCAUGGCUUUCUUAUCAAAGCUUUUGCGGUACAGGAUGGACCCGCGUCUGAUUAGCUAGUUGGUAAGGUAACGGCUUACCAAGGCGACGAUCAGUAGCCGACCUGAGAGGGUGAUCGGCCACAUUGGAACUGAGACACGGUCCAAACUCCUACGGGAGGCAGCAGUGGGGAAUAUUGCACAAUGGGCGAAAGCCUGAUGCAGCAACGCCGCGUGAGCGAUGAAGGCCUUCGGGUCGUAAAGCUCUGUCCUCAAGGAAGAUAAUGACGGUACUUGAGGAGGAAGCCCCGGCUAACUACGUGCCAGCAGCCGCGGUAAUACGUAGGGGGCUAGCGUUAUCCGGAAUUACUGGGCGUAAAGGGUGCGUAGGCGGUCUUUCAAGUCAGAAGUGAAAGGCUACGGCUCAACCGUAGUAAGCUUUUGAAACUGUAAGACUUGAGUGCAGGAGAGGAGAGUGGAAUUCCUAGUGUAGCGGUGAAAUGCGUAGAUAUUAGGAGGAACACCAGUUGCGAAGGCGGCUCUCUGGACUGUAACUGACGCUGAGGCAC